rnacentral:rRNA from 1 species
GUGUCAGCAGCCGCGGUAAAACGUAGGACGCAAGCGUUAUCCGGAGUUACUGGGCGUAAAGCGCGGGCAGGCGGUCUGGCAAGUCUGAGGUGAAAGCGCCCGGCUCAACCGGGCGAGGCCCUUGGAAACUACCCGACUGGAGGGCAGUAGAGGUAGGCGGAAUUCCGGGUGGAGUGGUGAAAUGCGUAGAGAUCCGGAGGAACACCAGAGGCGAAGGCGGCCUACUGGGCUGCACCUGACGCUGAGCCGCGAAAGCCAGGGGAGCGAACGGGAUUAGAUACCCUGGUAGUCC